AGUGGCCCAGAUGGGAGGCCACACUGGAGGUCCCUGUCCCUCUGCAGCGCCUACAGCCUUCUCUUCUUGCCUUUCUGGUGGAUUCCACCGGAGGCAAUGAGACUGCUGUUUCAGGACCCCGAUGGCAGGCCCCUGGGAGAGACAACAGUGUGAUCACAGACAGGGUCACCUGCUAUGGCCAGUGCAGAUGAAGUGCACCUACCAGUGGGUCCCCAACACAGAGCUGUGCAACUUGAACCCUCCGGGCUGCCUGCCCAGCCCAGGCCUCCGUGCCUCCUCUCUGGAUGCCCUUUCUGCCCUCCUGCCAGGGACUUGCUGCACAAGAUCUGGCAAAUCCUCCCACCAAGUAGUCCUACCUUGCCCAGAGUUCAGGGAGGCUCCCCUAGAAGAGAGCUGUAGGCUUUCCAGGCACUGCCAAGUAGACCCUGUCUGUUUGGAGAAGUCCUUGUCUGUCUAACCAAACAAGGCAACUCUAUAGACAGUACACACACUGUCUGGGCCGGGGAAGAUAGGGAGCCACAGGACAGUGGGAGCUGCGGGCAAUGAAGACGCAAAGGGCUCAGCAGGGCUGGAGGAGGAGACCUGCUGGCCCUGGACCCUGGACAUUCAGAAGUGUCCAUCCUGCGGGUGUGACACUGGAGAGUCCAGGCAGCAGGUGCUGGAGCUGGGCAGAUGCUGGGUGGCCACCUUGUCUCCCUGCUUUGCCCCUAGCUGGGGUGGGGGAAAUGCGGGCAAGAUGGCCUGAUGCCAACCCAAGCCGUGAGUCCCCGAGCAGAUCUCCUGGGUGCCCACACAACUCCUCUCCGUGCCCUGUCCUGCCUGGGUGGUGCUUGCACUGCAGACCCUUCAUGCGCUGGCCCUGUCUUGGGACUCAGCCAUCCCCACCUCAGCCACCCACCUGCCCCUGGGCCCCACCUGCCCGCAUCCUCACCUGGAAGCACCCAAGCCUCAGACACUGGCCCCCAGGACGGCAGCAGUAGUGACAGCAGCCACCUCAGCACAGGCGACCCCCGAGCUCUCAGAGACCCCCUUCCCAU